CGCUCUUCUUCCCCUUCCAAACCCUUCUUUUUCCCUUCCCUCCACAUGUCCGCCGUGUUGCACUUAGUUUGUGAAUCCGCGCAGUCUAACCAGGCGAUGGAGCGAACGGCGGACCGCCGCACGCUCCACUUUUGAGAUGACUUCCACACUUCCACUCCGAGCGACGCGCGCUCUCGUCCGCCGUCGCUCAUCUUGUUCUCGUUAGGCAUUUGUCACCGCAACUCCGCACAACGGAAAUUCUCCGAUGAAUGCAAUCGUCGCCGCCGCUGAGACCACAUCAAGUGUGCCAAUUAUCGCUGCUCUUAUCGCCGCAUUUGCGGCCGUAAUCGCCGCUAUUGCGAAUCUCUGGG
rnacentral:misc_RNA from 1 species